UAACCUUUAAGGUUGGUAAACACUUGUACACUGAAGCAUACAAUACUGUACAAUUACUGACAUAGGCAUGUGCUAUUCAGGUGUCAAAGCUGUGCGAAACUGGAGGGAGAAACUUGAGAGACCGUGCCGGAAGAAUGCUGGACAGAGUUCACUAAAAUUCAUUAAUUUCAAAGUUCAACAUGAAUGCUGGUGGUCCACUGCAGAAGCAAGCAUUUGAAAAAACAUCAGUUCUCAGUUAUUAAAGAUGCUGUGUUGAACAACUUCCCAGCAGCAACAGACCUGGAAGUGAAGGAUGCAAUGGGGCAGUGUUUGGAAUAACGCCGUUUAAAAGAACGGCGUUACGUAACGACGUUCAUUUUUCAGUAACGGGCUAAUCUAAUUAAUUACUUUUCCCGCCGUUACAACGCCAUUAACGUUACCGGACGUUAAAUGCGGUGCGUUACUAUGCACUGACUUAACCUGUGUGAUUCAAACGCAACCCUGGCUCACACAGCUAGUGAGGAGGUAGGUUAAUAACGAGAUAAGCGAUUAUGAUUGGCUAAGGCAGAGUAAUGUGUUUCAUGGUAGCCAAUCAGAGCCAGUGUUGUUAUACACAUGCCAGCGCACGCGCCUGCGGCGACACACACACACACACACAGGGCGAAUUCCAAUCGAAAGUGAUGAUCACUAUGCCCUAUUCCCUUUGAAGAUCAAAUCUCUUGAUGUAUAAACUCUAGAUAAAGUUGCGCAAUGUUGUCUGAUAGUGUGGCUAAUUAAAAUACACUUGGUGAUAAAAUACAGCGUCUUUUUCUGUUUAUUUGGAUUUUACAUCCCCUUCGCGAAGUGCCCUUCAAGGGCGCACAAACGGCAUUUGGAAUUUACCCACACACACGCAACAGCUAAACAGAGAUUCGCGGCAGCAGAAGAGAUGGCGAGUCAGGAGGAGCAAUCCGAUGGAAAGUUGGCAUUUUCAAGGUGGAGAUAAGCACUACUUCAAAUUCAUUGUGGUCAAAGCAAGAACGUGCAUGUAAUGUGUACAUUAUGUCCGGGAGCGAAGACU